GUUUUGUUUUUUGGUUUUUUAAUCGAUGCGGUGACUGCGGUCUCAGAAAUCCUCCUCAGAGUGGAGAAGCUGCGGCUGGCCAGGUUUAAGAAGACUGAACUCGCUUUACAGCUCAUUCAAGUGCUCCAGUCUGGUUUUUGAUUCUACAUCAUCCUUCGAUAUUCUACUUCAUCUUUAAAACUUUACAGCUCAUUCAAGUGCUCCAGUCUGGUUUUUGAUUCUACAUCAUCCUU